GAACUGCGAUAAGUAAUGUGAAUUGCAGAAUUCAGUGAAUCAUCGAGUCUUUGAACGCACAUUGCGCCCCCUGGCAUUCCGGGGGGCAUGCCUGUCCGAGCGUCAUUGCUGCCCUUCAAGCCCGGCUUGUGUGUUGGGUCGUCGUCCCCUCCGGGGGACGGGCCCGAAAGGCAGCGGCGGCACCGCGUCCGGUCCUCUAGCGUAUGGGGCUUUGUCACCCGCUCGAUAAGGACCGGCCGGGCGCCAGCCGGCGUCUCCAACCUUUUUUUCUCAGGUUGACCUCGGAUCAGGUAGGGAUACCCGCUGAACUUAAGC
rnacentral:misc_RNA from 1 species